UAACUUAGUGGCGGACGGGUGAGUAAUGCGUGAGCAACCUGCCCUUCAGAGGGGGACAACAGUUGGAAACGACUGCUAAUACCGCAUAAUGUAUUCGGGAGGCAUCUUCUGGAUACCAAAGGAGAAAUCCGCUGAUGGAUGGGCUCACGUCUGAUUAGCUAGUUGGUGAGGUAACGGCUCACCAAGGCUGCGAUCAGUAGCCGGACUGAGAGGUUGAACGGCCACAUUGGGACUGAGAUACGGCCCAGACUCCUACGGGAGGCAGCAGUGGGGAAUAUUGGGCAAUGGGCGAAAGCCUGACCCAGCAACGCCGCGUGAAGGAAGAAGGCCUUCGGGUUGUAAACUUCUUUUAAGAGGAACGAAGAAGUGACGGUACCUCUUGAAUAAGCCACGGCUAACUACGUGCCAGCAGCCGCGGUAAUACGUAGGUGGCGAGCGUUAUCCGGAUUUACUGGGUGUAAAGGGCGCGUAGGCGGGAAUGCAAGUCAGAUGUGAAAUCCAAGGGCUCAACCCUUGAACUGCAUUUGAAACUGUAUUUCUUGAGUGUCGGAGAGGUUGACGGAAUUCCUAGUGUAGCGGUGAAAUGCGUAGAUAUUAGGAGGAACA
rnacentral:rRNA from 1 species